AAUUCUAUAGUUUAUAUAUAAAACAUUAAAUUGCAAAUUUAAAAAAGUAAUAAUACUUGAAUUU
rnacentral:tRNA from 1 species